CCAAAGCAAUCAAAACUGAGCACUCCUCCUGGAGGCGUACUUUUGUCCUGGGGGCUCAGAUUUACUAUCCAUUUCUCUUCUUCUCCCUUGUCAAGUUGCAGACACCCAUACAGAUCCAGGAUGUCCAGGAGCUUUCUCUUCAACACCCCUACCCUGAGAAAUUUUUUUUUUUUUAAGAUUUCACCUUUCUAUUCAUGAGAAACACAGAGAAAGGCAGAGACAUAGGCAGAGGGAGAAGCAGGCUCCCUGCAGGGAGCCCGAUGUGGGACUUGAUCCCAGGACCUGAGCACGGAACUGAUCAUCAUCACCUGAGCCAAAGGCAGACACUCAACCACUGAGCCAUUCAGGCAUCCCUGAGGAAUCUUCUUAUUACUGAGAGUCUACUAUGUCCUCUUAUCCCAUGCUGCAAGCUGAGUUCUCCAGAAGCAGAUGCUGAGAUGGAGUUUCAGGUGCAAGAUGUUUAGGACAGAUUGACACUGCAAAGAAAAGGGGAAGGAAGCAGAAUUGGGCAAAGAAAGAAGUCGAACAGUGAUGGAGUUCUCAAGGAAACCUCAGCCAACUCAAGCAGGAAGAAGUGGAAUGAAUUGUGCAACAACAGAGUUGUCUUGCUUUGAGCUGAAUGGCGGAGUCUUUAUAUUGUCACAUGUCUCAUUCUCCAGUAGCCAGUUGAGAGUUGUGAGUCUAAGAGUGGCUCACGACCAGAGGCAAUGCAGCUCGCCUCAGCUGAGUCAAGUUCUGGAGGAGCUUACAUUAAGAGGCUACUGACAGCCCUUUCCAAAUCUGGGUAGCAAGUCUGUCCUUGAAGGCGGGGUCUGGGUGGUGCAUCCCCCUGUUUACCACAUCCUAUUUUCCUACAACCUCCUUUUAUUCUCUUUUGUAUAAGGCUGUCAUGAUCCCAUCCCUUCUUAUCUAUUUCCCGGUUCAAGGCAUGGAUCACAUUUACAACAUAGGUUAUGUAGUUCUGAAGACUGGGUGAGGUUCCCUUCAUACAGUCGUGAAUCUACCUGACUCCAAACUACUUGGCACCUGUUUUUACUCUCUCUUGACUCUAGGUUUGACACAAAGAAAGGGAGGGAGGGCUGAACCAUUUAGUUCAAUUUCUUUUACUUUAUGGCAGAGAAAAGUAUUCUCCAAACUGUCAGUGUUACUGAGAUUUUUAAAGCCCAAUUAAUUUUGUAUGAGCAAUGGUGUGUAAAUACUGAAAGUUUGAUCUAUUCUCUAGUUUCCUUCUAUUGAGAUUUCUGAGAAUGCCAGAAAUGCAUCCACAGUCCACAAACCUCUUCUGGUAGUCUCCUGUCACUUUCUGCUCUGGACCGGUGUGCCAAGACCUCUGCUGGCACAUUCUGGAUUGACAUGACAGCUUUUCCAAGCUUUGCACCCCUCCAUGCACCUCUGUAUCACAUGAAGAAAAAUCUCCUUUUAUUUCCUAAAUUACAAGGAGUAUCAGACCCUACUUAGAGCAAAACUUGUAGAGGUUUGCACAUAAUGAAAGGUGAACAUUUAAAAUUAGAUAUUAGAUGUCACUGUGACCAGAGUCCUUUGACCACAGAUUAUCCUGAUGGCCUUCUCUCUCCUUGUCCCGGUGCUGCCGCCUCCUGCCAUUUUUUCCCUGAAAUAUUUGAGAAUAAAUUACAGACAUGCUAGUCCUUCACCUCUAAUAGGUAGGUGUUUCCUAAAAAUAAGGACAUUCACAGUACAAUAAUAAAAAUCAGAAGUUAACGCUGAUACAAUGUAAUCAUCUAACCUACAGACCUUAUUUGAAUUUUAUCCAUAGUCCAAUAAAUAUCUGCAUGGCAAAAGAAAAAAAUUUCUGGUCUAGGAUUUAAUCUAGGAUUACAUGUUCUGUUUAGUUUGCAUGUUUUUAAGUCUCCUUUACUCUGGAACCAUUCUCCAGACUUUGUCUUUGAUGACCUUGUCACUGUCGAAGAGGAUAGAGAAGAUCUUUCCUAACUAAUUUCAUGAAACUAAUAUAACCUAUACUAGUAUGACUAGUAUAACUCUCCAAGCAAUUGGAGAGGUAAAAUAUGAAAAGACAAUUGUAGAUCAUCAUCACUCAUAUCUAGAUGAAAAUUUUGGCAAACCAAAUCCAUCAACAUGUAAAAUAAUACAUAAUUUAAGCCUACCCAGGAUGGCUUAAAUUAGGAAUUUACCAUUGAUUCUAGCAUUAGAAAAUCAGUGUAAUUUGUGACAGAUUAAAGAAUCAAAAGAGAAAAAUCAUAUGAUCAUCCAAAUAGAUGAUGAAAUAGCUUUUGAUAAAGUUCGGUACUCCUUCAGUAGACACAAGUGAAUUUUCGCCCACAUGAAUAUUAUGUCUUUGCAGCUUUAGGUUUAUUUGAUGUUUCCCUACAAGCAAAAUUGUUAACUUUAAAUCCAUUGUUUAUCUGAGGAAGAGAUGUACACAUAUACAAAUAAAGCAUAAAGUACCCAGAA